GAAAGAAUAACUGUUUUUGGUCAGGGGUCAGGGAGCAGGAGGUGGGAAUCAAUAUAUGACUGAGAUGGUAACUCCCACAAGGUAGAGAUACAUGUGAAGGCACUGCAAAGAUAUUCUAGCUGGUCAAUAUGGAUGGAAAACAUCCUACUGUUGGGCACGUAGGUGGCACAGUGGAUAAAGCACCGGCCCUGGAUUCAAGAGGA